rnacentral:rRNA from 1 species
GACGAACGCUGGCGGCGUGCCUAAUACAUGCAAGUCGAACGGAGUGGGGACGGGUGAGUAACACGUGGGUAACCUCCCAUCAGAGGGGAUAACACUUGGAAACAGGUGCUAAACCGAUACGGAUGGCUGGACCCGGGGUGCAUUAGCUAGUGGGUGAGGUAACGGCUCACCAAGGCCACGAACCAUAGCCGACCUGAGAGGGUGAUCAGCCACACUGGGACUGAGAAACGGCCAAGACUCCUACGGGAGGAAGCAGUGGGGAAUCUUCGGCAAUGGACGAAAGUCUGACCGAGCAACGCCGCGUGAGUGAAGAAGGUUUUCGGAUCGUAAAACUCUGUUAUUAGAGAAGCGGUAUCUAACCAGAAAGCCACGGCUAACUACGUGCCAGCAGCCGCGGUAAUUC